GUCAUUUCGGAGCCGGCUACGGGACAGAUCGAAUGAAAAAUCGCUACACGGAUUUUUCGUUUGAUCAAUGUAACUGACAAUCUUCAUAACGAGAGGAGGAGGAGGUCUGGGAAAGACAUCAGGCACCGGUGGAGUAAUCAUCAGGAUAUCAACGUCAAUCAAGCUUAUUUAAUCAACUCUGCUCUUAUACAUCGACUGGUGAAUAACAAACUUAUUUUAGUAGAAGAUUGUGUGGAGAUGUAUAAGUCUAGAUUGUAGAUUGUGUAGACUGUAGAUUGUAUGUAGAUAUAUA